UCCCUCUCUCUCUUUCUCUCUCACUCCCUCUCUCUCUUUCUUGCUCAUUCAUUUAUUUAUUCAUUCAUUUACUCGCUCACUCACGAAUCUGAAACUCGCGUGUCCAGUUCGUGAUCGUGCGCUGUGCGCGUGUCCUUCCUCCUCGCUCUUCUGCGGGACGCGGAGCUCAUUCAGAAAACACGGCUCACACUGACCACAUCAUGCUGGACUGAGCGGAAGGACCAGCAGCUGAAGUUCAGCUUCUCUCAAGGGACUCUGGAUUUCUAGCCCCACCCCUGGCCAACGCUAUGACUCAGGAUUUAAACAUAUGUCUGUGAGAGCCUCUCGGAGCCUAGGACAGCCCAUGUUCUAAAGGUCAAGGGCCCAGAGCUGGUCGCUGGCCAUGCAGGCCCGGACAUCUCCACGGAGCGAUACGCUAGUGUCUGGCAUGUUCUCUUGCAACGGCACCUCCAUCAAGGACUGGAGCUUCUUCUUGUCGCAGAUCUUGCCGCUGGUGAACAAGUCAACUGGCCUGGUGCACCAAGGCAUGGAGAAAGCGGAGGCGGUGACCAGCAGUGUCAUGGCGACGGCCCUGGAGCCCGACCUGGGCGGGAUGAGCGCCAGCCGGCCACCGCUGAACUCCAACCACACAUCCGGCAUGGAGCACAUCUUCCGUUAUUCAUACUCGGAGGACGACCUCCUGUACACGGAUUACAGAACGCCACCCAGGGACUCCAUCCCCCUGCCCAAAGCCGUGCUCUACCUGCUGAUGGUGGCCCUGGUGGUGGUCGUGGUGGCGUAUGCCAUCGUGGGUCACCUGGUGAAGGACCUGGUGCACGAAUUCGUUGAAUGGGUGUUUGGGCCUCGUUCAGCAAACCGCAGGAGCAAAAGCGACGUCAGCUGCAUCACUGGUAACGCCAACGAGAUGAGCGAACUCCCUCGUGUGGUGGAAACAAACUACGUUACCCACAACCACUCUAACUGCCCAGGCACCUUGAAGCCUGAGGAGCUGGUGAUCACCAUUGACGAAAGCUCACAGCUUCCUAAUGAAGCGUACAGUGGGACCUAGCUGUGGACGGCAAUCUUCCGUCAUUUGAUCCAAUCCCUUGUGGCAAAGAAGGGGCUAAAAGGCAGUAAGUUUGCUUGCAGGCGAAAGGAGCGUGAUCUGUUGGGAACCAACACUAAACUCACUGUUCAUCGCUUACUGCAGCCGUGUGACUUUUGGGUGGAGACUUGGCAUGGAAGGUGUAGAAUCUGAGAAACCUGUUGAAGGGAAUCGCAGAAGAACAAUGAGGAACGAUAAGGAACAAUGAGGCCUGAGGUUGAACAUUAACCAGCAGAUCUCUCUGCAUGGGGCUGCUUUGGCAGCCAAGGAAUGCUAAAGUGGAUUUACAGCCAAGACGAAUCUUGUGGAUCGGAGCACAUUUCUGUUUUCCAUUCAUCUCAUUGGCUCUUUUAUAUCAGUUUUGUUAAGCCAGAAUGACACUGUGGUCGUAUUCUUUUGUGAUCAUUUCUUUCUUGACCAAUAAUCCCUUCUUUCUUUGUUUCCUGAUGCUGUAAAACCCAACAGUGAGCAUGCUCAGAUGAUGUGAUUACUGUAAGAAUGAUGAGACUGCAUUAACAUUCAACUGCUAGGCAAAUAUUCCAAAGUACUAAUGUGAAACCUAGUAAUAUAGAUACAUAUCUUGGUAAAUUUGAAACAGCUCCAUACACAAAUGGACAAAAACAACAUAUAAUAUGUUUACAUACAGUAUCUCACAAAAGUGAGUGCACCCCUCACAUUUCUGCAAAUAUUUUAUUCUAUCUUUUCAUGGGGAAACACUAUAGAAAUGAAACUCUGAUACAGCUUAAAGUAGUUAGUGUGCAGCUUGUAUAGCAGUGCAGAUUUACUGUCCUCUGAAAAGAACUCAACACACAGCCAAUAGUGUCUCAAUAGCUGGCAACACAAGUGAGUCCACCUCACAGUGAACAUGUCCAGAUUGUGCCCACUCGUGUCGCUGUCCCUCCCUGGUGUAAGGGACAUGUUAGAGUUACAAGGUUCCAGGUGUGAAUGGGGAGCAGGGCUGUUAAAUUUGGUGUUUUGAGUAUAAUUCGCUCAUACUGGCCACUGGAUACUCAACAUGACCCCUCAUGGUAAAGAAUUCUCUGAGGAUGUGAGAAAUAGAAUUGCUGCUCUCCACAAAGAUGCCUGGGCUAUAAGAAGACUGCUAACACCCUGAAACUGAGCUACAGCACGGUGGCCAAGAUCAUACAGCGGUUUUCCAGGACAGGUUCCACUCCGAACAGGCCUCGCCAGGGUCGACCAAAGAAGUCGAGUCCAUGUGUUCAGCUUCAUAUCCAGAGGUUGGCUUCAAGAAACAGACACAUGAGUGCUGCCAGCAUUGCUGCAGAGGUUGAAGAAGUGGGAGGUCAGUCUGUCAGUGCUCACACUGCAUAAUGCAUCAACUCGGUCUGCAUGGCGUCCCAGAAGGAAGCCUCUUCUGAAGCUGACUGAAACAGUUUGCUGAAGACAAGCAGUCCAAGAACAAGGAUUAGUGGAACCAUGUCCUGUGGUCUGACAGGACCAAGAUUAACUUGUUUGGCUCAGAUGGUGUCCAGCAUGUGUGGUGGCACCCAGGUGAGCAGUACCAAGGCAGUUGUCUCUUGCCUACAGUCAAGCAUGGUGGUGGUAGCAUCAUGGUCUGGAGCUGCAUGAGUGCUGCCGGCAUCCGCUUCCUUUGGAAACUGCGAAGCAUGGCAGUUUUCAACAAAAUAACAACCCCAAACACACUUCCGAGAUGACACCUGCUUUGCUGAAGAAGCUGAAGGCAAAGGUGAUGGACUGGCCAAGUAUGUCUCCAGACCUAAACCCAAUUGAGCACCUGUGGGGCAUCCUCAAGCGGAAGGUGGAGGAACGCAUGGUCCAACAUCCACCAGCUCCGUGAUGUCAUCAUGGAGGAGUGGAAGAGGAUUCCAGUAGCAACCUGUGUGGUGAAUUCCAUGACCAAGAGGGUUCAGGCGGUGCUAGAUAAUAAUGGUGGUCACACAAAAUAUUGACACUUUGAGCACAAUCUGGACACGUUCACUGUGAGGUGGACUCACUUGUGUUGCCAGCUGUUUAGACAUGAAUGUCUGUGUGUUGAGGUCUUUUCAGAGGGCAGUAAAUCUGCACUGCUAUACAAGCUGUACCUUAUAGUGUUGCCCUAUGAAAAGAUAUAAUAAAAUGUUUGCAGAAUGUGAGGGGUG
ensembl:lncRNA